AUACUUACCUGAACGGGGCGGGGCCUAUGGCUGAUCAAGAAGGGUCAUGACCUAGGUUGGUGAUGUCCAUUGCACUUUGGAGAAGCAUCAAGCUAACGUCUCCCCAAGUGGGGGAGAGUGUACUAUGAUUGUAGGAC
rnacentral:snRNA from 11 species